GAUGUCGUUAGACCGGGCGGCCGGUAUUGACUGUACAAAGGUAGCAUAAUCAUUAGUCUUUUAAUUGAAGACUUGAAUGAAGGAUUUGAUGAAAUGUGAACUGUCUCUGUUUUAAAUAUAAAAUUUAAUUUUUUAGUUAAAAAGCUAAAAUAUAAUUAAAAGACGAGAAGACCCUAUAGAGUUUUAUAUUUUAAUUAUUUAAUUUAAUGUAUAUAUUUAAAUAUAUUAAUUAAUUAAAAUAUUAUAUUGGGGUGAUAAAAAAAUUUAAUAAACUUUUUUUAAAAAAUAAACAUAAAUAAAUGAUUAAAUGAUCCAUUUUUAGUGAUUAAAAGAAAAAAUUACCUUAGGGAUAACAGCGUAAUAUUUUUUUUUAGUUCAAAUAAGAAAAAAAGUUUGCGACCUCGAUGUUGGAUUAAGAUAAAAUUUAAAUGCAAAAGUUUAAAGUUUGAUCUGUUCGAUCAUUAAAAUCUUACAUGAUCUGAGUUCAG
rnacentral:rRNA from 1 species